GACGAACGCUGGCGGCGUGCUUAACACAUGCAAGUCGAACGGAAAGGCCCUGCUUUUGUGGGGUGCUCGAGUGGCGAACGGGUGAGUAACACGUGAGUAACCUGCCCUUGACUUUGGGAUAACUUCAGGAAACUGGGGCUAAUCCCGUAUAGGAUAUCCCGCUCCAUGGUGGGGGUUGGAACGUUUCGGCGGUUGGGGAUGGACUCGCGGCUUAUCAGCUUGUUGGUGGGGUAGUGGAUUACCAAGGCUUUGACGGGUAGCCGGCCUGAGAGGGUGACCGGCCACAUUGGGACUGAGAGACGGACCAGACUCCUACGGGAGGCAGCAGUGGGGAAUAUUGCACAAUGGGCGGGAGCCUGAUGCAGCAACGCCGGGUGCGGGAUGACGGCCUUCGGGUUGUAAAAAGCUUUCGCUUGUGACGAAGCGUGAGUGACGGUAAUGGGUAAAGAAGCACCGGCUAACUACGUG
rnacentral:rRNA from 1 species